UCUGACUUAGUAGAAAGCUUCAGAAGUUUGUCCCCUGUACCACAGCAGCAGGGGUCAGGGAAUAAAUGGUAAAAAACGGGUCCUGCUAGAGUCCCGCAGAAACAGCCUUGCAACUGCUGCUGAAUAACGCUUACAAAAGAGUCCGAGACGGAAUAGUUUAUUGCAAACAAUUGCAAAAAGGAGGGGGAGCUAGAGUUGUCAGGGACACACCAGUUCGGGAAAUCAAAGGCAUAAAGAAACUUCACCCAUAUGUAAAGGAUGGUAACUAAAAAUAAUUUAGAGAGGUAAUGAGCUGCUCUUGAUCAGAUAGCUCUUGAACAAGGACGGAGAGGAACUAUUAUUUACGUGCCCACCCCUCCUCAUUCCUGAGUUGGUAUGAUCUUCUGCCUUUUCCCGCUUGUGACUCACAGUGCUCACACUAGUUUUCCAUUCAUUUGCAAUCAAGGCAGGCCCUGCUUAGCGAAGGGGGCAAGUCAUGGUUGCUACCACCAGACCAGCAAUGUUUUCCUAGAUGUUUCUGAAGGAAUUAGUGUUACUCAGUUUCCAAAAAUGCAUUAAUUUCAAAAAUCUGAAACUGUGGAGAACUGCUGCCGGUCAGUGCAGACUAUACUGAACUAGUUGAGCCAACGGUCUGACUCAGCAGAAGGCAGCUUCAUAUGUUUAUGCCAGCUCCAUGGGUGGCUUAGGCAACAUAACUGUUGUUUCCAGAUUAUUUUAACAGUAAUUUUAAAAGUAGAAUUAGGAGCAAAUCAAUGACAUAUGAUGGUUAUAAAAAGCCUCAAGCAGUAUUGUACUGGAGGAGUAGGAUGUAAAUACUUUAAAUACAUAUAAAUGAAUGGCAGAGAGAUCCAUUUAAAAAAAUCCUCGACAUAUUAAACACCAAGUGUUCAUACCUGAACAUAAAGUUAUAUUUUUCCACUCUGCCAACUAAAUAAUCAGGCACAGCAUGACUUACCUAGUAAUCGGAAGUAAAUAAGUGAUAUCUGGAGGACCUUAGUGUGGGUUUUCAUAUGUGUGCAUUUGCAUUCAGGUGUACAUGCAUUCAUUUUAAAAAUGAACAUCAAUACAAAUGUGGGAACCAAAUAUGUGAACUUUUCUACUGGCAUACAGUGUAUAAAGACUCUGCAUGCAGUUAUUAGGGCACCUGAUAUCUGAUAACCUGCAUACCGUACAUGCAUUAAUAAGGUUGGCUCUCCCUUUGGGGGCUUAAAAAGAAAUUUGUGGCACCGCAUUUAAAAAACAAUUAAAAAAAACACACCCUUGCACGCUGUCACAUUCAGACCCUUCUGUGGUACUGACUGCAAAAGAAAAAGGAGAUUCAAAGCCCCAUUUUAGCGUUGCCAUUGCUGGAAGACUGCAGUCUCUGCCCAUUUGAAUUCAAUCUUCUUCAUUUCUGUUCUUGUUAAUCAUGGCUAAAAGUACUGUUAAUGUUCUGAUACAUGUAAUAAGACAUUUUAUUUCAUUGCUUUUAGUAUAAUUGUAAGAUUUUAUUUUACAAUUCUUCUUUAUUUUUGAGCUCUUCGGAGGGCAAGCCUAGAUGUAGAGGAAGGUGACAUUUGAAGCAUCAAGUGUAAAGCCAGUGGAUACAAGUGCAGUUUGUGAGACUUCUAAUUUAGGAGACAAUUGUCACCGGCCAGGGUGACUUGGGAGAUCCACGUCCAAAGCCCCAUUCACUGGGUGACCUUGGGCCAGUCAUUCUCAGUGGGACUAACCUAACUUACCUUACGGGGUUGUUCUGAGGAUAAAAUGGAAGGAUCCAUGUACAUUGUGUAAAGCCCCCAAUCCGGAAAAUGCCUAAGGUCAGAGUCCAGAAACUGUGCAGACCCUCUGUCAUAAACAGCUGGUGAUGUGGACUCUGUCAAAUCUGAAAACCAAACAGUUGCAAAAACUCUGUUAUCCUAGGGAAAUGGAAACUAAUUCUGUGAGGAGCACUCUGGAUUACGAUGGAAAAUUUGCACCUCAUCCAAUGCCAAGAUUCUUUGAGGGAAAUCAUAAGUGUUAAAAUGCUAUGAAACUAAAGUAAGUGCAUAGCAUAAGCAGCGCCCUUUGCUGAAUGCGGAGAUGACCAAUCACUCAUAUGCCAAGCUCUAUCCCUCCCUGCCUUCUGGUGUUUCUCACAGCAGGACUGGAAUGGGCAGGUACACACUCCUCAGUGACAACCCAGCUAUGAUUUCCUAUUUAUUUUGUAACCUGGACGUGAGCAGCAGAUCCAUUUUUCAGGUUAUGUUUAGGCCGAUGUUCUCAGAAACGGAAAAAACAGCCAAGGAAGUCGGGUUACCUCUGAGCCACGUUCUCAGUCACAAUCGGCAUCGGGCCAGCAGUGUCUCUCGUAUCUCCAUUACGGCAGC